UACGUAGGGUGCAAGCGUUAAUCGGAAUUACUGGGCGUAAAGCGUGCGCAGGCGGUUUUGUAAGUCUGACGUGAAAUCCCCGGGCUCAACCUGGGAAUUGCGUUGGAGACUGCAAGGCUAGAAUCUGGCAGAGGGGGGUAGAAUUCCACGUGUAGCAGUGAAAUGCGUAGAGAUGUGGAGGAACACCGAUGGCGAAGGCAGCCCCCUGGGUCAAGAUUGACGCUCAUGCACGAAAGCAUGGGGAGCGAACAGG
rnacentral:rRNA from 1 species